CUGGGGCAGCGGCUGCGCAGGCGCUCGCCGGCUCUUCCCGAGUGGCGGGAGAGCGCUUCGCGACCCGAGCGCCGGGAGGACCCAGCGAGGUCUCCCCACGCGAGGCGGCGACGCAAGACCUCUAACUCAUGGCAAAGGGAGAAUGUCCAAACGCUCAAGGGCAUUAUGAAAUAGAAUGGGCCAUUUGGCUCAUCAAGGUCCUCUCCACCCACAGGAUCCCAUGAAUCCAUCAAAUAAUGAAAACUUUACUCUCGUGCAAAUACCUUCAAAGUUCAACAUCUCCAGAACUCCAGAAUUCCCCACUUUGGAGGAUGAAUGGUUAAUUGGAUCCUAGUAGAUCGGCUAAAAAGAAUUGCUGAAAUGAGGUAUCAGAGAGCGGAAGAAAUUUGGAAAUCUUUUUCCUUCAAGUUGAGCGUAAUUAAUUAAGCCGUGUCUUCAAUCCAAUGGUAAAGACUGCCUAACAAACGCCAUCUGUUCUAGGGGAGUGCAGUGCUCUCUCAACUCUUCCUCCCUCCAUUGGUCUAUUUCUAUCUAUUAUAAACCACUCUCCUCUCAUAAAUGGAGAUGAAUAUAUGUGUAUUGAGAAAGAUCAUAAAUGAAUUUGGAAAAAUAUAAAUAGAUUUUGUGUUCCUUAUAAACAGUGGUGAAAGUUGCCUCAAUUCAAAAUGUUACUAGAAGAACCAGCCUCUGCCCUGUCUCUCCUUCAUUCUUUUACCUCAGGAAUUUGCACAGGGAAAUAAAUCCUAUACUGUGUUGUCCUACUUAUGGAGACAUAGCAAAGCAGGGCAAUACCUCCCCCAAACUUUUGACCUGGAAUUUCAAGUAUUUUAAUU